rnacentral:misc_RNA from 1 species
GAUGAAGAACGUAGCGAAAUGCGAUAAGUAAUGCGAAUUGCAGAAUUUCCGUGAAUCAUCGAAUCUUUGAACGCACAUUGCGCCCGCCAGUAUUCUGGCGGGCAUGCCUGUUCGAGCGUCAUUUCAACCCUCAAGACCCCUUCGGGGGACUUGGUGUUGGGGACCGGCACAGGGGCCUGCCUGCUUGUCUUGCAGCGCCCUCGCCGCCCCCGAAAUGAAUUGGCGGCCUCGUCGCGGCCUCCCCUGCGUAGUAGCACAAACCUCGCAACGGGAACGUGACGGCGGCCACUGCCGUAAAACAACCCAAUUUUAUUAGAGUUGACCUCGAAUCAGGUAGGAAUACCCGCUGAACUUAAGCAUAUCAAUAAGCGGAGGA